rnacentral:misc_RNA from 1 species
GAUGAAGAACGUAGCGAAAUGCGAUAAGUAGUGUGAAUUGCAGAAUUCAGUGAAUCAUCGAAUCUUUGAACGCACCUUGCGCUCCUUGGUAUUCCGAGGAGCAUGCCUGUUUGAGUGUCAUUAAAUUCUCAACCAUUAUCAACUUUUGCUGAUAAUGGCUUGGAUGUGGGGGUCUAUUUUGCUGGCUUCUCAGAUAGUCAGCUCCCCUUAAAUGCAUUAGCCGGUGCCCCGCGUGGACUGUCUAUUGGUGUGAUAAUUAUCUACGCUAUGGACAUCUGCAAUCAUAUGGGUUUGCGCUGCUUCUAACAGUCUGUUGAUUCAGACAAUACAUGACAAUUUGACCUCAAAUCAGGUAGGACUACCCGCUGAACUUAAGCAUAUCAAUAAGCGGAGGA